UACGUAGGGUGCAAGCGUUAAUCGGAAUUACUGGGCGUAAAGCGUGCGCAGGCGGUUUUGUAAGACUGUCGUGAAAUCCCCGGGCUCAACCUGGGAAUGGCGAUGGUGACUGCAAGGCUAGAGUUUGGCAGAGGGGGGUGGAAUUCCGCGUGUAGCAGUGAAAUGCGUAGAGAUGCGGAGGAACACCGAUGGCGAAGGCAGCCCCCUGGGCUGACACUGACGCUCAGGCACGAAAGCGUGGGGAGCGAACAGG
rnacentral:rRNA from 1 species